UACGGAGGGUGCGAGCGUUAUCCGGAAUUACUGGGUUUAAAGGGUGCGUAGGCGGACAGGUAAGUCAGUGGUGAAAUCCCUCGGCUCAACCGGGGAACUGCGUCUGAUACUGGGUGGCUUGAAUCCGGGAGAGGGACGUGGAAUUCCAGGUGUAGCGGUGAAAUGCGUAGAUAUCUGGAGGAACACCGGUGGCGAAGGCGACGUCCUGGACCGGCAUUGACGCUGAGGCGCGAAAGCCAGGGGAGCAAACGGG
rnacentral:rRNA from 1 species